GUAGCUCAGUUGACAGAGUGCUUGCCUACCAUGCAGGAAGCACUGGGUUCAAUUCCCAGC
rnacentral:tRNA from 1 species